rnacentral:rRNA from 1 species
CCUACGGGUGGCAGCAGUGGGGAAUAUUGGACAAUGGGCGAAAGCCUGAUCCAGCCAUGCCGCGUGUGUGAAGAAGGCCUUCGGGUUGUAAAGCACUUUCAGUGGGGAAGAAAGCCUUGGGGCUAAUACCCUCGAGGAAGGACAUCACCCACAGAAGAAGCACCGGCUAACUCCGUGCCAGCAGUCGCGGUAAUACGGAGGGUGCGAGCGUUAAUCGGAAUUACUGGGCGUAAAGCGCGCGUAGGCGGUCUGAUAAGCCGGUUGUGAAAGCCCCGGGCUCAACCUGGGAACGGCAUCCGGAACUGUCAGGCUAGAGUGCAGGAGAGGAAGGUAGAAUUCCCGGUGUAGCGGUGAAAUGCGUAGAGAUCGGGAGGAAUACCAGUGGCGAAGGCGGCCUUCUGGACUGACACUGACGCUGAGGUGCGAAAGCGUGGGUAGCAAACAGGAUUAGAUACCCUAGUAGUC